GCAGCAGCCAUGGCCAAGGCAGCCGAGGCAUCGCAGAACUCUGCUUACUACAACCCGGCCAAAACCGGUUCUAUGUAUGUGCCAGCAGCCCCGCCAUCCUUUGACCAGGCCAGUGCACCACCGGAGGGACCACCGCCACCAUACUCCGAGGGUUCCACGAAGACAAACUAAGGACGGCCAGGUUGUCUCUCCCAUGCACAUCUUUUCUCCUUGCCUCAUUAUGAAGUGUGUUAGUUUAACCUGACUGGGAUGACAACAUUGUCCUCCACUCCAACUAAAACAGUGAAAUAAACACAAUGCUAUUAAUAAUGCGCAGGGAAGACGUGCACACCAGUUCUCGCCAUGUUCACCGGGUGUGGUGUUUGGCAUCGUGUAUUGCAGGACUGACGCUGUGGCACAGAGUCUUUGUUGAAGUGGUUCUGGUCGUGUGUACGGAUGCCGUACGGUUUUGUGUAAUAAAGAUGUUUAUGUAAGUUCCAUCA